CACGUAGGGGGCGAGCGUUGUCCGGAUUCAUUGGGCGUAAAGAGCUCGUAGGCGGCUCAGUAAGUCGGGUGUGAAACCCUCAGGCUCAACCUGGGGACGCCACUCGAUACUGCUGUGGCUAGAGUCCAGUAGAGGAGUGUGGAAUUCCCGGUGUAGCGGUGAAAUGCGCAGAUAUCGGGAGGAACACCAACGGCGAAGGCAGCACUCUGGGCUGGAACUGACGCUGAGGAGCGAAAGCGUGGGGAGCGAACAGG
rnacentral:rRNA from 1 species